rnacentral:rRNA from 1 species
ACCAGACUCCUACGGGAGGCAGCAGUGGGGAAUAUUGCACAAUGGGGGAAACCCUGAUGCAGCGACGCCGCGUGAGUGAAGAAGUAUUUCGGUAUGUAAAGCUCUAUCAGCAGGAACGAGACAAGACGGUACCUGACUAAGAAGCCCCGGCUAACUACGUGCCAGCAGCCGCGGUAAUACGUAGGGGGCAAGCGUUAUCCGGAAUCACUGGGUGUAAAGGGAGCGUAGACGGCUGUGCAAGCCUGAAGUGAAAGGCGGGGGCCCAACCCCUGGACUGCUUUGGGAACUGUACGGCUGGAGUGCAGGAGAGGUAAGUGGAAUUCCUAGUGUAGCGGUGAAAUGCGUAGAUAUUAGGAGGAACACCAGUGGCGAAGGCGGCUUACUGGACUGUAGCUGACGUUGAGGCUCGAAGGCGUGGGGAGCAAACAGGAUUAGAUACCCUCGUAAC